rnacentral:rRNA from 1 species
UACAGAGGGUGCAAACGUUGUUCGGAAUUACUGGGCGUAAAGCGAGUGUAGGCGGUUUGGUAAGUCGGAUGUGAAAGCCCCGGGCUCAACCCGGGAAGUGCACUCGAUACUGCCAAGCUAGAGUAUCGGAGAGGUUGGUGGAAUUCUCGGUGUAGAGGUGAAAUUCGUAGAUAUCGAGAGGAACACCGGUGGCGAAGGCGGCCAACUGGACGAAUACUGACGCUGAGACUCGAAAGCGUGGGGAGCAAACAGG